rnacentral:rRNA from 1 species
GACGAACGCUGGCGGCGUGCUUAACACAUGCAAGUCGAGCGAGUGGAUUCCCUUCGGGGAUGAAGCUAGCGGCGGACGGGUGAGUAACACGUGGGCAACCUGCCUUAUAGAGGGGGAUAGCCUUCCGAAAGGAAGAUUAAUACCGCAUAACAUCAGAUUAUCGCAUGGUAGACUGAUCAAAGGAGCAAUCCGCUAUAAGAUGGGCCCGCGUCGCCUUAGCUAGUUGGUGAGGUAACGGCUCACCAAGGCGACGAUGCGUAGCCGACCUGAGAGGGUGAUCGGCCACAUUGGGACUGAGACACGGCCCAGACUCCUACGGGAGGCAGCAGUGGGGAAUAUUGCACAAUGGGGGAAACCCUGAUGCAGCAACGCCGCGUGAGUGAUGAAGGCCUUCGGGUUGUAGAGCUCUUUGAUCAGGGACGAUAAUGACGGUACCUGAAGAACAAGCCACGGCUAACUACGUGCCAGCAGCCGCCGUAAUAC